AACGUAGGAGGCAAGCGUUAUCCGGAUUUACUGGGCGUAAAGCGUGUGCAGGCGGCUUCAUAAGUUGUGCGUGAAAGCUUCAGGCUAAACCUGAAGAGGCCGUGCAAGACUGUGAAACUAGAAUCCAUCAGAGGCAAGCAGAAUUCCAGGUGUAGUGGUGAAAUGCGUAGAGAUCUGGAGGAAUACCAGAGGCGAAGGCAGCUUACUGGGCUGUAACUGACGCUGAGGCACGAAAGUGUGGGGAUCAAACAGG
rnacentral:rRNA from 1 species